rnacentral:rRNA from 1 species
UACGUAGGUGGCAAGCGUUGUCCGGAUUUACUGGGCGUAAAGAGCGCGCAGGCGGUCGUGCAAGUCGCGUGUGAAAGCCCCCGGCUCAACUGGGGAGGGUCACGCGAUACUGCUCGACUCGAAGGCAGGAGAGGGAAGUGGAAUUCCGGGUGUAGCGGUGGAAUGCGUAGAGAUCCGGAAGAACACCGGUGGCGAAGGCGGCCCGCUGGGCUGUGGCUGACGCUGAGGCGCGACAGCGUGGGGAGCAAACAGG